rnacentral:rRNA from 1 species
GGGUCUUGAGAUAUUUGGGGUUAAGCAUCCUUAAGUUUGAAUAGUACUGGGUUGGGUGACCUCCCAGAAAGUCCAAACUCAAGAGCUU